rnacentral:rRNA from 1 species
GACGAAGGGGCUAGCGUUGUUCGGAAUUACUGGGCGUAAAGCGAGUGUAGGCGGUUGCCCAAGUCAGGUGUGAAAGCCUUGAGCUCAACUCAAGAAAUGCACUUGGUACUGGGUGGCUAGAGGACCGGAGAGGAUAGUGGAAUUCCCAGUGUAGUGGUGAAAUACGUAGAGAUUGGGAAGAACACCAGUGGCGAAGGCGGCGACCUGGGCCAAUAGUUGACGCUGAGGUGCGAAAGCGUGGGGAGCAA